rnacentral:lncRNA from 1 species
UGCAUGCUCCCCUUCUCCUCGGGGCCACCCUUGUCUGCCUGGGAGCCCGGGCUGCUGUGCCCUGGGCUCCUCUUCACUGCUCUGAUCAUAUAAACCUGCAAAUGUUGGUCUAGUCUCCAUGGGCCCAUUGUGGGGUCACUCUCAGACACUUUCAGGGACCAGGCAGGUGAGCCUUGAUGAGUGGGAGAGCAAAAUGCCAUGCAUAAAAGGCUCAGCCACUGCGCAGCUCCGGCCACAUGGAAAGGGGAAGCCUCGUAACAAGGACUUUAGAGCCACGACAGUGACAACACUACCUGAGACCGAGAUCUUCACUUUGUCACUUCCCCUGCCCUGAUUGACAUCCCUCCACAGCUUCCUGGUUUUCCCUAAGAGCACUCCUUCAGUAAGGCACCAGCACCAGAAUCCCUACCUCAGUCUCUGCUUCUGGGUGCCUGACCUAAGGCAACAAGGGGAGUUUAUGGUUCCCUCCUUCUUUGACUUUUGUAUGUCUUGGUUCAGAACUUGGACUUGAAUCCUCAAAAAGCCUUACCACUCAUACCCGCCAGUCCACCUUGGACUACUCACCAGAGGUGUCAUGGGGAAGGGGUACAUCCUUUCUCCUGGCUGAACAUGGGGCCCUUGAACUGGACAAACAGACUGUGAGCAGAUAGGACUGGAGGCUGAACACUCAAGCAGCACAGCCCUGUACACGUAUCUGACCCUGGAACUUCCCCUGGCUGUGGGCUUUAGG